GACGAACGCUGGCGGCGUGCCUAAUACAUGCAAGUGGGACGCAAGGGAACACACUGUGCUUGCACACCGUGUUUUCUUGAGUCGCGAACGGGUGAGUAACGCGUAGGUAACCUGCCUAUUAGCGGGGGAUAACUAUUGGAAACGAUAGCUAAUACCGCAUAAUAUUAAUUAUUGCAUGAUAAUUGAUUGAAAGAUGCAAGCGCAUCACUAGUAGAUGGACCUGCGUUGUAUUAGCUAGUUGGUAAGGUAAGAGCUUACCAAGGCGACGAUACAUAGCCGACCUGAGAGGGUGAUCGGCCACACUGGGACUGAGACACGGCCCAGACUCCUACGGGAGGCAGCAGUAGGGAAUCUUCGGCAAUGGACGAAAGUCUGACCGAGCAACGCCGCGUGAGUGAAGAAGGUUUUCGGAUCGUAAAGCUCUGUUGUAAGUCAAGAACGUGUGUGAGAGUGGAAAGUUCACACAGU
rnacentral:rRNA from 1 species